UGAUUUUACUCCUGUGAUGCUAAAUCACUGUAGACAGUUUUGCAAGGCUGGUAAAACCCUCCUGAAGACCUUAAUAUGACAUCAGCCUGGACUCCAUAUAUCUUCUGCUCCACCGCCUUCUGGAAGGACAUCAGGGUAUUUUCUGGUGCCAACAUCGGCGCCCCACGGUGACCUAUGAUGGCUGGCUUUGGUCCCAGAGCCUUCUUCUCCAUUAUGCAAGGGGAUGAG
rnacentral:lncRNA from 1 species